rnacentral:rRNA from 1 species
AUUGAACGCUGGCGGCAUGCCUUACACAUGCAAGUCGAACGGCAGCGGACCUUCGGGUGCCGGCGAGUGGCGAACGGGUGAGUAAAGUAUCGGAACGUACCUUUCGGUGGGGGAUAACGUAGCGAAAGUUACGCUAAUACCGCAUAUUCUCUGAGGAGGAAAGCAGGGGACCUUCGGGCCUUGCGCUGAUGGAGCGGCCGAUAUCAGAUUAGCUAGUUGGUGGGGUAAAGGCCUACCAAGGCGACGAUCUGUAGCGGGUCUGAGAGGACGAUCCGCCACACUGGGAAGGAGCCACGGCCCAGACUGCUACGGGCGGAAGCAGUGGGGAAUUUUGGACAAUGGGCGAAAGCCUGAUCCAGCCAUACUGCGUGAGUGAAGAAGGCCUUCGGGUUGUAAAGCUCGUUCGGCCGGGAAGAAAUCGUGUGGGCUAAUAUCCUGCAUGGAUGACGGUACCGGAAUAAGAAGCACCGGCUAACUACGUGCCAGCCGCCGCAGUAACAC